AGCGAACGCUGGCGGCAUGCUUAACACAUGCAAGUCGAACGGAAAGACCCUACUUGUUUGGUGUUCUCGAUUGGCGAACGGGUGAGUAACACGUAAGUAACCUACCCUUGACUUUGGGAUGACUUAAUGAAGCGAGAGCUAAUCCCGUAUCGCAUCUCCUCCUGCAGUGUGGGGGUUGGAACUUUGCGGCUGUUGGGGAUGAACGCGCGGGUGAUCAACUAGUUGGUUGGGUAGUGGCUUACCAAGGCUGUGACGGGUAGCCGGCCUGAGAGGGGGACCGGCCACCUUGGGACUGAGAUACGGCCCAGACUGCUAUGGGAGGCAGUAGUGGGGAAUAUUGUACAAUGGGAGGAAGCAUGAUGAAGCAACGCUGAGUGUGGGAUGCCGGUCUUCGGGGUGUAAAAAGCUUUAGCCUGUGACGACGCGUGAGUGACGGUAAUGGGUAAAGAAGCACCGGCUAACUACGUG
rnacentral:rRNA from 1 species